rnacentral:rRNA from 1 species
GGCGGGGGGGCAAGUGUUCUUCGGAAUGACUGGGCGUAAAGGGCACGUAGGCGUGAAUCGGGUUGAAAGUGAAAGUCGCCAAAAAGUGGCGGAAUGCUCUCGAAACCAAUUCACUUGAGUGAGACAGAGGAGAGUGGAAUUUCGUGUGUAGGGGUGAAAUCGUAGAAUCUACGAAGGAACGCCAAAAGCCGAAGGCAGCUCUCUGGGUCCCUAC